rnacentral:rRNA from 1 species
AUGGUUUUCUUGUGCCCCAUUUCUAGGGUGGUUUGGUGUAUCGUUGGUUCGGUUCUUGGGACAUAUACUUGUCCGAACAACUUGUGGCAGUACUAUUCCUGGUGCUAUGUCUUUCUUCCUGAUGGAGCUAGGUUCCAUACCUUUGGUCCAGCGGCGAUAUGUUGGGCUAUUUGGAAUUGCCGUAACCGUGCUACCUAUGAAUUCAAGAUUCCUAGGUCACCUUUUGAAGUGGUGUUUUCCUCUUGUGUUUUGCUUAACUAUUGGGCAAGUCCGCUGAAUGGGGACGACCGCGGAGCUAGAGAGAGCGGUGCGAAGAUGCUGCGGGAGAAUGCCUCCAACAUGAUGAGGAUCUGCGCUACAAUUGAUGAUGUUGCGACAAACUGA